GGGUGUGUCAGUGAUGAUGAGGGAACAGGAACGUACAUCUGGGAACCACAGAUGCCACAGCAGGCUUUGUGAUUGGUGAGAUAUAGCCAACUGGCAAAAAAGCAAAUCUCAAAUUAAGACCAAAACUGCCAAACAAAAUUAUUCUGCUUCACAUAAAGAGUUCCAGAUUCGAGGUUCUCCCAAAACUGUUCCCAGAUGCCCUCUACCCAGCCAUACACUUUGCUACAGAAUCACUUGACAAGAAUUUUUAAGGAUUUCUCUAUCCUUUGACUAUUUGAUUCAGAAUUCCAGUGAGGAUGAAUAUUUCCAGAAAUAUGAAAAUUUUGGCUAUGCAUAUUAAAUGAUAUUAUAUAUGAUGAAACAAAAGAGUGAUUGCUGAUGCCUACAGUCUCAACACAAUGGAAAAGAAAGUGAAAUAAUUUCCGUUUGGUUGAAAAGGCAUAUUUCUUAAUCCUUCGAGCUGAAAAUCAAUAUUCAAGAGAGGCAUGGAGAAAGCACUGCUUAAAGUGCUGAAGAGCAGAACAGUAACAUUGCUACUAACUAAUCUGACAAGAGGUGUGUGUACACUGCUUCCCUGACACCACUCCAUAUGCCACUGAAAACAUGUUCUCCUGGAGAUGAGGAAGGGAAGCUACCCAGGGGAAUCCCCUUGACAUGUAUAGUCACAGUCUCCCAAGGGUCAAAUCAUGAUGGACAUGUUUGUCACCAUGGCAGCAAAACAGUACAUGUGUUUUAACCAAAGCAGAUGCAAAGACCGUAAGUACCAGGUUUCUUUGUUUUUGAAGACCUUUGAGGCAGCUCACAGAACUAUAAACCCAGUAUAAAAGGAAUGAAAGUGAAAUGUGUCUCAGUUUUUGAAUGUUAAGUGAACCUGCAUUCUAUACCUCAGCUUAUAUUUCCCCUGAGUGUUGGCAGAUGGCUACUUACUGUGUUUUUUUCUUGGGCAGACACAGGAAGCUUAUUAAAGUAAAGUAGUUUGGAAGAAGUUGGAAUCGUUACUACAGUAUAAGUAUUAGGCAAUAAUCACUUCACUUUAUUCUGAGGCAUGCAUUUCGCCUGGGAAUGUCUAAAUUGCUAAAUAUCAGAGCAGCCCAAGAGUUUACGAGUGCAAAAGGUAAGAAAAUUGAAGCAGUUUAGACAGCAUGCAAGGAGACUAAAGAAUAUUCAGUAUAAAUAAAUAAAUAUUUACAGAAUAAAUAUUCA
rnacentral:lncRNA from 1 species